rnacentral:lncRNA from 1 species
UCGAUUGUCGAACCAUGCCCUGGCGGCACCUUCCAUUGCGAAAAAGACAUGGCGCAGCUUGUCUAUGGUCGAGUUGUUAAACGUAGCGACCCUUUCAUACGUCUCCAGCCAGUUUUCCGGUUCCUCAAAUGUUGAUCCGCGGAAUGUCGCUGGCUCACUGGGCUGCUGCAGCACGAUGGGGGACUCUGGA